AACGAACGCUGGCGGCAGGCCUAACACAUGCAAGUCGAGCGAGGACUUCGGUUCUAGCGGCGGACGGGUGAGUAACGCGUGGGAAUGUGCCCUUCUCUACGGAAUAGCCCUGGGAAACUGGGAGUAAUACCGUAUACGCCCUAUUGGGGAAAGAUUUAUCGGAGAAGGAUCAGCCCGCGUUGGAUUAGGUAGUUGGUGGGGUAAUGGCCUACCAAGCCGACGAUCCAUAGCUGGUUUGAGAGGAUGAUCAGCCACACUGGGACUGAGACACGGCCCAGACUCCUACGGGAGGCAGCAGUGGGGAAUCUUAGACAAUGGGGGCAACCCUGAUCUAGCCAUGCCGCGUGAGUGAUGAAGGCCUUAGGGUUGUAAAGCUCUUUCAGCUGGGAAGAUAAUGACGGUACCAGCAGAAGAAGCCCCGGCUAACUCCGCG
rnacentral:rRNA from 1 species